rnacentral:rRNA from 1 species
GUGGGGAAUAUUGCACAAUGGGCGCAAGCCUGAUGCAGCAACGCCGCGUGAGGGACGACGGCCUUCGGGUUGUAAACCUCUUUUAGUAGGGAAGAAGCGAAAGUGACGGUACCUGCAGAAAAAGCACCGGCUAACUACGUGCCAGCAGCCGCGGGAAUACGUAGGGUGCAAGCGUUAUCCGGAAUUAUUGGGCGUAAAGAGCUCGUAGGCGGUUUGUCGCGUCUGCUAUGAAAACUGGAGGCUCAACCUCCAGCCAGCAGUGGGUACGGGCAGACUAGAGUGCGGUAGGGGAGAUUGGAAUUCCUGGUGUAGCGGUGGAAUGCGCAGAUAUCAGGAGGAACACCGAUGGCGAAGGCAGAUCUCUGGGCCGUAACUGACGCUGAGGAGCGAAAGCGUGGGGAGCGAACAGGAUUAGAUACCCCUGUAGUCC